CUUCUUUAUCCAUUCCUCCAUUGAUGGCCAUUUAGAUUGCUUCCAUGUCUUAACUGUUGUGAACAGUGCUGCUGUGAACACUGAGGUGCAUAUAUCUUUUCAAAUUAUAUUUGUCUCUGGAUAGAUGCCCAGGAGUGGGAUUGCCGGAUAAUAUGGUAGUUCUAUUUUUAGUUUUUUUGAGGAAACUCCAUACUGUUUUCUAUAGUGGUUGUCCAAUUUACAUUCCCAGCAACAGUGUAAGAGGAUUCCCUCUUUUCUGCACCCUCUCCAGUGUUUAAUGUUUGUAGACUUUGUGAUGAUGGCUAUUCUGACUAGUAUAAGGUGGUACUCAUAGUAGUUUUGAUUUGCAUUUCUCUGAAAAUUAGUGAUGCUCUGCAUAUUUGUGUGUGUGUGUUUUGCCAUCUAUAUGUCUUCUUUCCUCCUUAAAUUCUUUACCAAAAUAAAUGACAGUGUAGCCUGGGCUUGCUUUUUCAAAUUCUUUAAUUUCUUUCUUUUAAUUACUCUUUAUAAGCAGGAAAUGAUUAGUGCCUGAUGAAGUUGUUCUUUCUACAGUCACCUCUUAAUUGCCAAUAGAUCUGCUCUUUGGAACCUCAUCUUACUCAUUUUUUGCCUUUGAUACUAUUGAUCCCCCUCUCCAUAACAAAUUUGCACCAUUAUUUUUUAAGAUUUUUUUCCUAAAAAUUUUAUCCACAUCUGAAAAUUGCUUUUGAGAGUCUUUUAAAAGCUUCUCCUCCUUUCCUUGUCCUUUAUAUUUUUGUAUUCCCCAGAGUUCAAUUCUUUGAUUCUCUUUUUUUAUUCUAACUUUUCUCACUCUAAUACCCCUGGAUAUCAUUUUGUAUUUUCAAUUGCCAUGUUAACCUAUAUAUCCUGAAGCUAAUUCAGAAUUAAUGUUAAAACCAAAUGUGUUACUUCUCCUCUCACAGCAGCUUUCUAUUCUAAUAUUUUACAUUUGAAUGAAAUUAUCAUGGUCAACAUCAUCUUUUAAUCUUGAAUCUUGGGGAAACACUAGGCUUUGUGCUUUUCCUUCUCCCCUCUUUCUUAACCUUCUUUAUCAGUUUUUACCUGAAAAAAACAUUGAAUUCUAGCUUUAAAAUGUAUUAACUUUAGUUCUUCUUUUUAUUCUUUCUAAUUUUGCCUUUGGAAACUUCAUUGUUUUUUUUUUUCCUUUGAAUAAGCCACUUUAUGUGGUUUUCCUAUAUAUACUCUCACCCUCAUUUAAACCAUUCUCCAUGUUGCCUCCUGAGUUAUUGUCAUUUCUCUGUCAAAAAUUCUUUUUAGUCUCUUUAAUGCCCCGGGAGUAGAUUCAAGUUCCUUGACUUGCCUGAGAAAACUUUUUGCAAUUUAUUCCCCACCCAAUUUUUGGUCUCAUUAUCUACUAGCCUGUGUAUACAACUUUAUUCUGGCUAAGCUCCUUUCUUCAUUUCGCUCAUGUGGGUCACACUGCCAUUAAACCUACUUUGUUCCUUCUCUGUCUUUCAGCAGAUUCUUCUUUCCUUUUCAAAGCCUAGCCCCAAUAUCUGUUGCAUUUUGCAACUUCUCAGUGGUGAAUGAACAUAGAUAUUGAUUUAGAAAAUCAAGAAAGGUUUUUUUUUUUUUUUGAGAAAAUGAGUAUGACUAGUAUAGCUUUAACUUUCACAAGGAUUUUUAAAAGCCAUGCUUUCUCUUUGACCUGACUCUGCUAUGUCUUAAGCAAAUGUAAGGAUGUUUCAUUUUGCAUUUUAUCUAGGCACACAUUUCAAUAAUGUAUUAUUUAUCAUGAGUCUAUGAAUUGCCUGAGCUAGGCUCAGGUGAUUUUGGUUGGGCUGAAUCAUCUUUGGUCACCUGGAGUUGGGUGUAGAUGCAUUGAUAGAGGUGAUUCUGCUGAAUAAAUUGAUUCUGCUUCAAGUUGAAUCUCAUCCUCUAGAAGGCUGGCCUGUGCUUGAUCUUAUGGUAGAGACAGGGUUUCUAAGAAAGGGUUAAGAUGCACAAAGAUUCUUAUAGCCUAGAUUUUGAACUGGCACUCUGCCACUUCCAUUUCAUUCUGUUGGAUAAAGGAAGUUCCAAAGCCACCCUGGAUUCAAAGGGGUAGUAAGGAGGAGAUUCUGAGCUGUGUUGAAAGGAGAGCUGCAAAGUACCAUUAGAGAGAAGGACUUAAAAAUCUGGGCAUUUUUUUGCAGUUCAAUCUGUAAUAAACUAGAGGGGAUAUUUUAAAAUAUGACAUACCAAUUCCAUUCUAUAAUUGUUGGAUCUUUUAGAAGUGAAUGAGUAGAAAGGAUAACAUAAAAAUAGGAUAGGAAAAUAUGUUGUUGUUAUACUAUGUUAUGCGUUGUACGUUGUAAACCUGGGUUACUCUUCGGAUUUCAGAUAUUAUGAAAUUUUAGAUUAUAAAUUAUAAGGCUUAAAGUUUGAUUCUUAAUAGCAAAUUUAAAGAAUUUGAAAAGAUUAAAAAUAUAACACUAAAUAAAAACUAUUGGAAAUAAAAGUUAUGCUUAAGUGCAUAUUCAAUGUGAUAAAGGGAGUUGACAAUAAAAUAUCAUAGUUUGAGAAAGUCAAGAAAGGCAAUCUUAGAUUACUCUAAAAAUAUUAUUGACAGUGCUGCUGAAUAAUUUUGAGAACUCUUCUCUAGCAGCUAUGUGGAAAUUAUCUGCAAGAUGACUGGCUGCAGUUGAUAUUGUCAAUUUGUCCGUGGCAUGGCUUCCAGUACUGAGCACCUGAAGCUUGCAUUCAGCUGACAGAGAGUCAUGCUUCGCUGAAGUGGCAUUGGAAUACAAAUAAAUUGGAUACCACUUAGAGACCUGAAAUGCCACUGUGAGAUGAAAGGCAAACCCCACUGAAAGUGACAGCAAUAUUUUCUUUUCUAGCUAGGGAAAAUAUAUAGGAAAAAGAUGAGAGACCUUUUUAAUGGAAUAAAGAAAAAUGAUACUGCUUCUAUAUAACCCAAGCACCAUGGUUCUUAAUACAAUUCAGUAAAUGCCUCAAAAUAGAACUACAUUAAACCUCAAGGCAAUCAGAACACAAGUACUGGAUUGUCACAAUGUGGUAAAAGAAGUGAUAUCCAAAGCUAGCAAAGACACCUAUAAGAACUAUGAAGCAUCAAUGAUUUUGGAGUCAUUUGACAGUCUUUUGGACAAUGCAUAUUGAAUUGAAUGUGUUGUCAUCCUCAUUGAAUAUUUUGUGUGUGUUUCAAAAUGUGCUGAAAGAUAGAUUUCUUCUUUUCUUAAUAAACUAUAAGUUAAUUGAUCUCAAGACACUGACUUCACAUCAAACUUAAAAUCCUGACAUUUUAUACACAUAAGCCACAGACUGCUAAAUAGUCUCAUAGAAAUGCACGCUUCAUUUUUAAACUAAUCAAGUAUGUCUUGCUCAUUUCUCAAGACAUGGUGGCAUAUUAAAUCUCUAAAGGUUUAGCCAUUAGGCUUUUGAGAUAUGAGUCUCAAGUAGUUGGCAGGAAUGGCAUAUUAGCUACAGUAGAAUAAAUCUCAUUUGAGUUUUAUUAAAUUGAAUGUGUUAUUAUAGUUUAAUCAUCAAAUUCUCUUAUAGCUAUUUUUACACAUCCAUUGUCUUGACAUAAAACACGUAUAUUUUUAAUAUACUUAUAUAUGCUUAAGGGCUCAUAUAUAUUCUAUAUAAAUAUUCUGCCUGUGUGCAGGAAAAAAUGUACUAUUCCUGCAGCUCUCUCUAUAUAUCAAGAUUAUCUUAGCAGUUUGACUAGCUUUCUAAUAUUGAAAAAAUUUCUUCUAAAAAAUUUUUGAGCAUUUUUGAUUGUGUUUAAGUAACACAAGCACGUACUAACAUACCAUAGAGUAGCAAUAAGUAUUCGUUUUACAGUUGCCAGUGAUGAUAUUUGUUUUUCUACUUAUGAGUUUUUAUUGCUUGAGCUUUAUGUGUACACAGAAAUGUGUUGACUAAGUCUUGCUCAGACUGUUAAAUUUAAUUUUUAUGAAUUUAAGAACAUCGAAUUUAAUUUUUAUGAAUUUAAGUACAAAUAUAUCUUUACUUACUAAUGGCCAAAUGAAGACAGAAUAUUUAUUAUAAACAAAUAGAUUUAGUUAUAGAAAUACAAAAAUGUAUAAAUAAUUGAGUAUAAUUGUAUAAUUGCUUCUGCAGGAUACGGACUUCUAGUAGUGUUUCAGGCCCUUGUCUGAUUGGAUGGGCUGAAUGAAGGUGGGGAUAGAGAGGUGACUUCUAGGCUUUUCAGAUAUAGCACCUAGGCAAGCAGCCACUCACUUCUGCUACAUAUGAGGAAAAAAAACAUUAUAUUUCUCAGGUGUUUAUCAUGUCUCAGGAGUGCUAAAAUUAGGAUCUCCUCAUAUAAAUGUUUCAAAGCUAUUUUCUCACACUGCUUUUUUACUCCAUGACAUUCUUCAUAAUAGCAUAUUAUGAAGAAAGAGAUUUGUUACUCAUCAAAAUCUUGGUUAUAGAUGUAAAUAGUGAUUUGACCUUGGAAACUUUAUGUUCCUGAUUUUCAUUAUUUGUAAGGUAAAGGUAAGAUGAAACUAGCCAUCAAUAAAAUUUGCAUAGUGUAAACAUUCAUUGAUUAUAUUAAGGUUUCCAGUAGAGAAUAACAUAUUUAAGAAUUUAAUGAACUAAUAAUGUGGAACUCUAUCUAUCUAUCUAUCCAUUCAUCUAUCUAUCUAUUGACUGAUUGAUAGAUGCAUGGAGAAUACAUAGGGAAAGAAAGAAUAUUACCAUUGUCCGUAUGUAAUUCCCACUGCCUCUACAAAACACAUAUGUAGAGGGGAAUGUGCAUAAGCAUUUGUAUAGGAAGUGGGAGUUACAUAUGGAUGAAGGUAACGCUUUUUGGUAAGAAGCUAGAUUUUUUUUUUUUGGCCUUUUCUAGGCCGCUCCCUUGGCAUAUGGAGGUUCCCAGGCUAGGGGUCUAAUUGGAGCUGUAGCCACCAUCCUACGCCAGAGCCACAGCAAAGCGGGAUCCCAGCUGUGUCUGUGACCCACACCACAGCUCACAGUAAUGCCGGAUCCUUAACCUGCUGAGCAAGGCCAGGGAUUGAACCUGAAACCUCAUGGUUCUUAGUCGGAUUCAUUAACCACUGAGCCACGAUGGGAACUCCGAAGCUAGAUUUUUUUUUUUUUUUUUAACAUAGCUCAUCCUGACUACUCAUCGGGAUUUAGAGAAACAUAAAUGAUAAAUUAGUUUUGGGUUUCAUGCAGUUUUUCCUUGUUUAACCCAUCCUAUCACAUCGUAUUCCUAUUGUAGUAACACACAUGGAGAAAGUAAAUUACUUUUGACAUUUUAACAUCCUUGAAGCACAGCAUAAAUCUAGAUUAUAGUGUAGUGCCACCAUUUUCUCUCUACUCUCUCCUCUGUCUUUUCUCUCCAGCAUUUAUUUGCCCUUUUCCCAUUAUAAGUUUUUUUCUUCUAGCUCCUUGUUCUCCUCACUUUACUCAUUCAAUUUCUUUCUUUCUUUCUUUCUUUCUUAGAUUUUGGAGCAAGGUGAAACGAAAGGCUCAGGAACAAGGAAAUAGAAGGAAAGUCAAUUUCAGAACAGGAGUAAAGAUAGCCAUUGUCUACUACCUCCUGUAAGCAAGGAUGACAUGAGAGAGAAGAUAAAGCAAAAGCAAAUACUCUUCCUAAUUCAAUGGGCUCUAACAUAAGUACUUGAAUCUUCAGGAUUAUUUAUAAUAAUGCUAUGUUAGGAAAACCGCAUAUGUUGGAAACAAUGCUGAUGAGUUCUACCACAGUAGAAGAUUAAUGCUGCCCUGUGAAGAUUUUCAAAUAUUACCAAAACCUAUUGGGACAAAUCAUAUGGUUUCCUUCUUCUGUGUUUUAACAUUAAGAUACCUCAGCUGUGGAAGUUCCUAUUGUGGCUCAGUGGUUAACAAACCCAACUAGCAUCCAUUUGGAUGUGGGUUUGAUUCCUGGUCUUGCUCAGUGGGUUGAGGAUCUGGUGUUGCCAUGAGCUGUCAUGUACACGCGGCUUGGAUCUUGUGUUGCUGUGGCUGUGGCGUAGGCUGGCAGCUGUAGCUCCAAUUGGAUCCCUAGCCUGGGAACCUUCGUAUGCUGUGUGUGUGGCCCUGAAAAAAAGACAAAAGGCCAGAAAAAAAAAGAUACAUCAGCCAGCUAGUUGAUAUAGUAUCAUAUUGGGCCUAUCUUACAAUCUCUUGGGAGUGCUUUAAAAAAUAAUUAGGACCCACCUCGGACCCAUGAAAUCAGAAUUGCCAGGUUGUAUCACUAUUUUUUUAAAGCUCCACAAGUAAUUCUAUUUUACAGUUAGAUUUGAGAACUGCUGAAUUAUGAGAAUGAAAAAAGAAAGGAAUAGUUUCAUCCUAGAUCUCCUCCAAAUGCCCUAGGAGAAGUAAUAAAUUUCAGUACUCUGCAGCAAAAUGAAAGUAUGCCUAUUUAUUGAAUGCACUGGAUGCUGGUAGCCAGAACCCCCAUUCUUCCAGGAGAUAAUCUGUCUAGGCAGAUUGUGGUUAUAAGCACAAGAGACCUAGAAUAUCAUGUUUUCCAACCACAUAAGAAGUACAUGGCCUAGUCUGCUUACCACAUGGUAGAAGGAGUCUCAGAAGAGCCAGAGUGAGACCACAUGAUGUGAUAAAAUUUUUCUAUAGAAUUCUGCCUCUGGUUAAUGUGGUAUAUUGGAUGAUGUUUUCCCAGCUGUCUCAGGUUAUCACUUCUCCCAAGCAGUAAAGAAAAUGAAGAGUUCCUGCUGUGGCACAGUGGGUUAAGAAUCUGUCUGCAGUUGUUCAGGUCACUGUGGAGGUACAUGUUUGAUCCAUAGCCCAAUGCAGAGGGUUAAAGGAUCUGGCAUUGCCACAACUGGAGUGCAGGUCACAGCUGCAGCUCAGAUUCA
rnacentral:lncRNA from 1 species